rnacentral:misc_RNA from 1 species
UUUCCGUAGGUGAACCUGCGGAAGGAUCAUUAUUGAAAUAAACCUGAUGGGUUGUUGCUGGCUCUCUAGGGAGCAUGUGCACGCCUUGUCAUCUUUAUAUCUCCACCUGUGCACCUUUUGUAGACCUUUCAGGUCUAUGUUGCUUCAUUUAUACCCCAAUGUAUGUUAAUAGAAUGUUGUGCCUAUAUUAUAAUAUAUACAACUUUCAGCAACGGAUCUCUUGGCUCUC